rnacentral:rRNA from 1 species
UACAGAGAGUGCGAGCGUUAAUCGGAAUUACUGGGCGUAAAGCGCACGUAGGUGGAUAUUUAAGUCGGAUGUGAAAUCCCUGGGCUUAACCUAGGAAUUGCAUUCGAUACUGGAUGUCUCGAGUAUAGUAGAGGGAAGUGGAAUUUCCGGUGUAGCGGUGAAAUGCGUAGAUAUCGGAAGGAACAUCAGUGGCGAAAGCGGCUUCCUGGACUAAUACUGACACUUAGGUGCGAAAGCGUGGGGAGCAAAC